rnacentral:rRNA from 1 species
UGCCUCUGAGAGUGGGAUAGCUUCUGGAAACGGAUGGUAAUACCGCAUAACAUCAUGGAUUCGCAUGUUUCUAUGAUCAAAGAUUUAUCGCUUAGAGAUGGACUCGCGUCUGAUUAGCUAGUUGGUAAGGUAACGGCUUACCAAGGCGACGAUCAGUAGCCGGACUGAGAGGUUGAUCGGCCACAUUGGGACUGAGACACGGCCCAGACUCCUACGGGAGGCAGCAGUGGGGAAUAUUGCACAAUGGGGGAAACCCUGAUGCAGCGAUGCCGCGUGGAGGAAGAAGGUUUUCGGAUUGUAAACUCCUGUUGAAGAGGACGAUAAUGACGGUACUCUUUUAGAAAGCUCCGGCUAACUACGUGCCAGCAGCCGCGGUAAUACGUAGGGAGCGAGCGUUGUCCGGAAUUACUGGGUGUAAAGGGAGCGUAGGCGGGAUGGCAAGUCAGAUGUGAAAACUAUGGGCUCAACCCAUAGACUGCAUUUGAAACUGUUGUUCUUGAGUGAGGUAGAGGUAAGCGGAAUUCCUGGUGUAGCGGUGAAAUGCGUAGAGAUCAGGAGGAACAUCGGUGGCGAAGGCGGCUUACUGGGCCUUUACUGACGCUGAGGCUCGAAAGCGUGGGGAGCAAACAGGGUUAGAUACCCUGGUAGUCCACGCCGUAAACGAUGAUUACUAGGUGUGGGGGGACUGACCCCUUCCGUGCCGCAG